AAAUAGCCCUGAUAGAAGCGGCAUCCUUUUUUUUAUCGGUUCGGGUUUCCGCUUGGCGGAAGAAGCGGAACGAUGUAAAAAAGAUACAGCGGAUAGCAGGAAACAGC
rnacentral:sRNA from 1 species